CCCUUAGAUGUUCUGGGCCGCACGCGCGCUACACUGUUUGAUUCAGCGAGUCUUAACCUUGACCGAAAGGUUUGGGUAAUCUUCUAAAGUCAAACGUGAUGGGGAUCGAUCAUUGCAAUUAUUGAUCGUGAACGAGGAAUUCCUAGUAAAUGCAAGUCAUCAGCUUGCGUUGAUUACGUCCCUGCCCUUUGUACACACCGCCCGUCGCUACUACCGAUUGAAUGGUUUAGUGAGAUCUCCGGAUUGGCUCUGUAGGUCCCGCAAGGGAUUUAUUAGUAGCCAAGAAGCUGCUCAAACCUGAUCAUUUAGAGGAAGUAAAAGUCGUAACA
rnacentral:rRNA from 1 species